UCAGCAGUCAAGAAUAUUAGUCAAUGCUCGAAAGAGUGAACUAGCUAACUGAAAUCAAUAAUAAAAUUGAUAACAUAAGGGAAAACAUGAUAUUACCUUAUUAUUAGUGUCGUCCAAAACUGGUGCCAGAAGACUCGGUAAGGCCAGAGACACAAACGUUAAUCGUCUUAAUCAGGCGUAAAGGGUUUGUAGGCGGCUUUAAAAUUUAUUUAUAAACAAAAAAAUAAUAAAUAAAGAAUAAAAGCUAGAAUCAAAUAGAGGAUAUAUUAAAUAAUGCUUAGAGUAGGUCUGAUAUCCUUAGAUACUAAGUAGAAUAUUAAAGGCGAAAGCUUUUUUCCAUUAAUGAUUGACGCUCAGAAACGAAGGUGAGGAUAGGAAAUAGGAUUAGAUACCCAAAUACCCCUCUCUGUCAACGAUGAAUGGUAGUUAUUAGUAAAAAUUUUAUUAAUGGCAAUGUUAACACGAUAACCAUUCCGCCUUGUGAGUACAACUGCAAAGUUGAAAACAAAAAAAUUAGUCGGUUUCGGAGCAAACGAAGUGAAGCAUGUUAUUUAAUUCGAUAAUCCGCAAAAAUGAAA
rnacentral:rRNA from 1 species